UUUUGUGGGGAGUGAAGUCCUGAGCGGAUGUGGAUUGUUGACAUGGGCACGGUCGUGUUAAGGACCCCAGUGCCUCAGACCCAUGGGAAUGGCAAAGCCUUCUGGUCCAGGGGUGUCAUGGCGGACUGACAUUCAGCGAAACCAGUGUGUGCAGAAACUGCCAACCACAGCAUGUGAGGACCGCAGCCUGAAACUGUUCCCUCGCAGAAACCUCCUACUGAGAUAAGGGAACCCACAUCCUCUCCAUUCAACUGUACACGAAAACCCACCUGCUGUAUCAGCCGUGUGCUGUAACCCACCUCCUGGAUCAGCCGUGAGCUGUAACCCACCUCCUGGAUCAGCCGUGAGCUGUAACCCACCUGCUGGAUCAGUCGUGAGCUGUAACCCACCUCCUGGAUCAGCCGUGAGCUGUAACCCACCCGCUGGAUCAGCCGUGAGCUGUAACCCACCCGCUGGAUCAGCCGUGAGCUGUAACCCACCUCCUGGAUCAGCCGUGAGCUGUAACCCACCUCCUGGAUCAGCCGUGUGCUGUAACCCACCUGCUGGAUCAGCCGUGAGCUGUAACCCACCCGCUGGAUCAGCCGUGAGCUGUAACCCACCUGCUGGAUCAAAAGGCACACAGUGGUUUACUCGAGUCUCUGAAGACCUCCGCGCUUACACUUUUGAACAAUAUUGGAACUGUUAAAGAUGAUGGGGAUGUUUGGAGUUGGGUACCAUGUGACCAGACUCCUGUCUCUGUGACGUCUCUGCUGUGAGGAUGUAACCAACUGCUGCUCCAGAGGAGUCUGCAGCAUCCGGAAAGUAUAACUGUUGGAAGAAGGUAUUAAGAGAAGCCAGAUUCUGUUUUCCCAGGCUGUGGUUACUCCUAUUUGGCUCCAGAAUAAAUUCUUAUUCUCUUCAAGACAGCAUAGUGUUGACUGGUCCUGCCAACAAUGCUGGCUCUUUUAGUCAGCAUGAAGUACCACCUUCUGGUACUGAAACACACCUCAUAAGAAGUCUGAGAAAGUCUGUGUGUAAUCUGUCAUCAAAGCCUACAAAUGGGUAAACAUUAUCUGGGAAUUAUUGAUGGACAGUAUGGGUCAAUCUCAGAAACGCCGUGCAGAGUGAAAGAGAGGAGACAUGCAAGAUCUUGGGUGAAAGGCUUAAAUGGAGAUCAGUAGAAACAAACCUGUAAGAGAACCAGGGAGGGGAGUCAAUGGUUGCCUAGGGUAGCAGGCUCUAGGGUACUGACUGCAAAAAGGCAAGAAAGGCUUUUGUGUUGCAAUGGAAAUAUCAAAACUCAUGAAAUUAUGUAUUAAAGUAGGCAAAUUUUAUGUGUCUAAAGUAUG